UCACUGGGUUUAAAGGGUGCGUAGGCGGGCUGGUAAGUCAGUGGUGAAAUCCCCCAGCUUAACUGGGGAAGUGCCAUUGAUACUGUGGGUCUUGAGUAUAGUGGAGGUAGGCGGAAUGUGUCAUGUAGCGGUGAAAUGCUUAGAUAUGACAUAGAACACCGAUUGCGAAGGCAGCUUACUAAACUGUAAUUGACGCUGAGGCACGAAAGCGUGGGGAUCAAACAGGAUUAGAUACCCUGGUAGUCCACGCCGUAAACGAUGAUUACUCGAUGUUGGCGAUACACAGUCAGCGUCUAAGCGAAAGCGUUAAGUAAUCCACCUGGGGAGUACGCCCGCAAGGGUAAACUCAAAGGAAUUGACGGGGGCCGCACAAGCGGGGAGCAUGUGGUUUAAUUCGAUGCUACGCGAGGAACCUUA
rnacentral:rRNA from 1 species